GCCUUCCAAAGUGCUGAGAUUACAGGUGUGAGCCACCACACCCGGCCCCUGUUUGGGUUUUAAAUGACAGUUUUCUCUGUUGUGCUAGCACCUCCCCUCAGUUCAGGGACCUUCACCCCCAGCCUGGGCAUUUCGUCUGGAAUGAGACUUGUGGGGUUGCUUGGCGCUUGAGGCCAGGAUAUACUCUGAGCUGCGGAUGGCCAUCUCCUCUCCUGGGGCCUCGUUUCCCUCUGACCUCCUGCCCUCAUCACCUGGUGAUCUGGACCCAGGGCCAUAUCCCUUCUCUGCCCAGUUCUUGGGGCAGUGAUGGUGUCAGGCCGUUUGUGGGUCCCCCUGGUGCCCUGUCUGCCCCUCCACAAGACCUGGGAACUGCGGGAGGACAUGGGGACAGCCCAGGGGCAGGCUGGGGUUCCUGUGUGCUCGGGAAUGCCCCUCAGUUCCGCAUGGCCUUGUCUGUACACGGUGUGUGUGACCUUGUGCCCGACGGUCUGGAGGGACCAUUGAGUGGGCCAUUGCCUGUCCAGGCCUCUCCUGUGCUCCAGAAUGUUACGAGGGAUACCUCUCCAAAGGGGUGGGUGGGGGCGCCGCGUUCACAGUCAGCACCCUGGACAGCCCAUCCCCCAGCUGCUGGUGCAUCCCAUAGCAGGGCCAGGUCCCCCGGGAAGUGGGGGCAUCUCUGUAGAGCUGGCAGACCCCUGCCCACCCUGGGGCUGUGCCCCAAGCCCAGUGCUCCCAGUGAGGACAGAUUCUCUUAAUUAGGGAUGUCCCCUGGCACUUCUGCCACGGAGCUGGCCUCUGGUCCUGCACACUCCAGACACAUCCACCCUGGCUCACACACACCCCGGCUCACAUGCACCCCGGAUCCCACCCCCGCUGACACUCACCCCGGUUCCCAUGCACCCCAGGCUCACAUGCACUCCCGGCUCACACGCACCCCUGCUCACACGCACUCCGGCCCACACGCACCCCUGCUCACACGCACUUCGGCCCACACGCACCCCGCUCACACACCCCGCUCACCCAGUUCCCACGCACCCCAGGCUCCCACGGACCCCCGCUCACAUGCACCCCGGUUCCCACGCACCCCAGGCUCCCAUGCACCCGGCUCACAUUCACGCCCGCUCACACGCACCCCAGCUCACAUGCACCUUGGCUCACGCGCACCCCGGCUCACAUGCACCCCGGGCCCACACGCAUCGCCUCUCGCACCCCAGCUCACAUGCACCCUUGCUAACAUGCACCCCCUCUCCCAGGCACCCCGGCUCACACGCACCCCAACUCACACGCACCCCCACUCACACGCACUCCGGCUCUCACCCUGGCUCACACGCACCCCCUCUUACACGCACCCCGGGCUCACACGCAACCCCUCACACGCACCCCGGC
rnacentral:lncRNA from 1 species